UACAUGCAAGUCGAGCGAACAGACGAGGAGCUUGCUCCUCUGACGUUAGCGGCGGACGGGUGAGUAACACGCGGAUAACCUACCUAUAAGACUGGGAUAACUUCGGGAAACCGGAGCUAAUACCGGAUAAUAUAUUGAACCGCAUGGUUCAAUAGUGAAAGACGGUUUUGCUGUCACUUAUAGAUGGAUCCGCGCCGCAUUAGCUAGUUGGUAAGGUAACGGCUUACCAAGGCAACGAUGCAUAGCCGACCUGAGAGGGUGAUCGGCCACACUGGAACUGAGACACGGUCCAGACUCCUACGGGAGGCAGCAGUAGGGAAUCUUCCGCAAUGGGCGAAAGCCUGACGGAGCAACGCCGCGUGAGUGAUGAAGGUCUUCGGAUCGUAAAACUCUGUUAUUAGGGAAGAACAUAUGUGUAAGUAACUGUGCACAUCUUGACGGUACCUAAUCAGAAAGCCACGGCUAACUACGUGCCAGCAGCCGCAGUAAUACGUAGGUGGCAAGCGUUAUCCGGAAUUAUUGGGCGUAAAGCGCGCGUAGGCGGUUUUUUAAGUCUGAUGUGAAAGCCCACGGCUCAACCGUGGAGGGUCAUUGGAAACUGGAAAACUUGAGUGCAGAAGAGGAAAGUGGAAUUCCAUGUGUAGCGGUGAAAUGCGCAGAGAUAUGGAGGAACACCAGUGGCGAAGGCGACU
rnacentral:rRNA from 1 species